rnacentral:misc_RNA from 1 species
AAGUCGUAACAAGGUUUCCGUAGGUGAACCUGCGGUUGGAUCAUUAAAAAAAAGUACCCACCUUCGGGUGGGUUGGUGGAAUACCAUCCAUCAAACCCCAACUGUGAACCGUUAGCGUCUCUGGCGGCUGAAGGGCGUUGCUUUGUCUUCCCCUUUGAGGACGUUGCCGCCGCGAAAUAUCGUGGAGGCAACGGACGAACCCGCCAACCUAUUUUUUUAACUCUGUUAUACAUAUUCGUGGCUUUGUCUGACACUUGUAUUCGACGAAUGCAAACAACUUUUGGCAACGGAUCUCUUGGCUCUC